GACGAACGCUGGCGGCGUGCUUAACACAUGCAAGUCGAGCGGAGCGGCGAACGGGUGAGUAACGAGGGAGUAACUGCCCCCCUCUCUGGGAGAACAGUUGGAAACGGCUGCUAAUACCGGAUAGUGGGGGAUGACGCGCGUCCUAUCAGCUUGUUGGUGGGGUAGUGGCACACCAAGGCGACGACGGGUAGCCGGCCUGAGAGGGCGACCGGCCACAUUGGGCUGAGAUACGGCCCAAUCUCCUACGGGAGGCAGCAGUGGGGAAUAUUGAACAAUGGGGGAAACCCUGAUGCAGCAACGCCGCGUGCGGGAUGACGGCCUUCGGGUUGUAAACCGCUUUCAGCCAUGACGCGGUAGUGGCAGAAGAAGCACCGGCUAACUACGUGCCAGCCGCCGCGGUAAUAC
rnacentral:rRNA from 1 species